GGAUCAACUCUUAGACAAACAGGGGGCAGCUUGGAUGACUUUGUAGGAGAAGACGACUGCUUCUUGCCACCGUCUUCAGUGGUUUUCUUCUCUUUAGCAUCAACAUCAUGCUGUUUGGAAGCAUCUUCCGGUUUUCCAUCCAAGACAUCCUCAAUUUGCUCCAUUUGCCUUACUGGAAUGAUUUUCGUAACAGAAUCUUUAUUCAGUCCCUUUCCGUGGAUUUCACUUCCUCUAUUCACUACAUUUUCUCUAGAAUCGCUUCUAUCCUCUUCAACAUCAUGUAACUUUGGUAUGGUAGAUUUUAAGGGGGAGGUCUGCUCCUGAUCAACACCAGUCUCCUUGCUAACUUUGCCGUCUAUUUCCUCAGGUUUGUAAGGCAUCCAGAUUAUUGGAAAUGGAAACUGUUUCUUGUUCAUAUCAUCGUGGUGUUGUUUUCUGGGUGGAUCUCCCCUUUGCUUUGGUAAUUCCGAGUUGUUCCCUUGAUAAGGAGACCAUACAUUCCAGAUAUUUGGUUGUUCGAAAGAUCUGCAAUCACCAUACGGUUUCACAUCUUUCACCUCAUCCCGUUUACCUUCAAAUCCAUUAGGCUUCACGUGUGCGCUAUUCAUCAUAUAAUCAGGUGGCAUCCACAGAACAGGAUAAGGACAAUUCUUGAACCCAAAAGGAACCAAGGACUCAUUGCUUUCAUUUUUCUUAUCCUGGUCCUGUUCUUCUAUUUUAAUGUUGCUCCCUCCUUUCGUAUAACAUGGAUGAUUUGGACAGCCACAGAAGUGAUGACCACUUCCCAUAUUCUUAUCAUAUUCGUACCGAGGCUGCUCCAUAGUAAAAUGGGGAGAAACAUAAUUAGCAGCAUACAUCACCGGAUAUGCUGGAUUGCUACAGUUGUUGUAGGGAGGCAGUGGAAGGUAGGGAUAAGGAGGACCGAAUGCACACUGGCUCGGGGAAUUGUUAUGGAUACAGCAACUGUGACACUGCGGUGGAUAAGGAUGCCCAUAGUUACCACCACAAGGCCAGGAUUCAUAAGCUACAGGAGAUCUAGCUGGAUCAAUGUUCAGAUGAUGAUGAUUCGGUUCAAACUGGGGAUAAUAAGGAGGGUUGUGAGGUACUCGGUUUCUUUGGUAAGGAUGUGUGUCCAUGAACCCAUACAUGGGAUACAUCCUCUAUAUUUAGGAAAAUAUAAAUACU
rnacentral:lncRNA from 1 species